AGACGAAGCAGGAGACGAAGCAGGAGACGAAGCAGGAGACGAAGCAGGAGACGUCCAGAGAGUUUUCACAGUCGGAACCAUCAGUCCAAACGUUGCUGUUCUUGUUGCAGUUCUUGUUGUAGUUCUGACGGUUUGUGUUGUUGCUGCUGUUGGUUUUAUCUGUACAGGAGAAGAAACGAUCACAUCAGACGGCAGAAGUUGUGUGAAACCGAGAACAAGGAAAUAAUGUCAUGUUGGAAAUGUAAAACUCAGCCUCAGGACCCUCCAGUCUAAUGCAUCUGGACUGAAACGAGCUGAAGAUAAAGCUAAGCUAAAGCUAAGCUAAAGCUAACAGUGAUGUCCUGUAAAGUCUGGACUUCAUGGAAAAUGAGAGGAAACAAAAACUCAGAGUUUUUAUCUUCAUGCCAGAUGAAGCAAUAAUCACCAUGGAGAAGUUUGACCUCAGUGGCGUCUGCUGUUCUCCUCCAACCAGAAGCAUUAAAACACUAAAAGCUCUAAUCAGUCAUAAAGUUCAUGGAAGUGGAGAAAACUUUUCUGGUUGUUGAAAACUUUGUGUUUUGCAGUUUCAUCUGAUUUCUGUCCAGGUUUCCUCUGAUUGGUUAUAAUCUAUAUUCAUGUGUUCAGAUGUAAACACAAUGUGUGUUCAGGUCUUGUGGGUUUAAACUGUGUUUUCUCUAAAUAACAUAUUUUACAGCAUUUAAAUGAUCCUCUACAUUAAUAAUAAUAAUGUUCUUACACAUUAGAGUCAUUUUUGUUAAAACUACAAUAUAUUUUUAUAUGUUUUAUAAUAUUUUACUCGUUUGUGUUGUUUUUCUCUUAAUAUUUGUGUUUUCUACACAUUUUGACUCAGAACUGAAUUAGCAGCAGAUUAAAUGAUGAAAGAUGUGAGUUAAUGAUUCAUUUAGUUUUAUUUUAUUGUUUAGCGAUUAUUAACCAGACUCAGUUACAUCAUGUUCUCUGAUCACUGACAGAAAUGUGUUUAAAAUAGAAACAAUGAUGUGAAAGUUAAGAUUUGUUGAACUCAGAUUGUCUAACGUUUCAUUUUGGUUUCAUUCUAAAGAAAAUAAAACCUUCACAUCUUA